AGCAGAAGGACUAGUUCUGCCCAAGCACCACAUUGCAGAUCCAUGUAAUGGUAAUGACCAUGAAACCGAAUACGGCGAUUUGUACUUGGCCGUGAACAUUGGACGAAUCUGCUUGUUCAUAACUGCGACUGUGGCCAUCAUUCUGCUGACGGUGCACUGGGCUCUGAAGCUCAGAGGAAAACCUUCGCCCAGGAACACACCCCCAUCCCAGGAGAGGGCGAGGACAGUUCCUCCCCCUCCACAGGGUCAGUUUGUGAUGCAGACGAUGGCUAUGAGCUCCCCAACAUACUACAACGUAC